UAAAAUUUUUAUUUUUAAAAUUUAAUUUUAUCAAAAUUGAAGGUAAUUUAUGUUAAAGUUAAAUGAUCAUAUUUUCCGGUGGACUGAAAAACCACAAAGACAUACAAGGACGAAAAUACCCCUUAAGUUGCGGGAGGCCAUCUCGGAUUAGGGUUUCCGGUUGCUUAUAAAUUGCAGAGAGAAGCUCCCCCCUGUGCUCUCCUCAAGCUUCGAUUGAAAAUCCUGGUUAUCCCUGAGGAAUCACUGUAGAGAGUGACACAAGUAGAUCCUGAGGGCUUUACAGGAUGAGAGCUAAGUGGAAGAAGAAGAGAAUGAGGAGAUUGAAGAGAAAGCGCCGAAAGAUGAGGCAGAGAUCUAAGUAGGCGCUUGGAUUUUGAACAAGAUGGGGUCUUCUCCUGAUACCUUCAGCUGGCUUUCAUUUUGAUUUAUCAUCUGGUUUUAGUUUUAGCUAUUGAUUUUGAGACUCCCAGUUAAAUUUUUUGAGUUGUAUUUCACCUGAUUACAGUAUGCUUUUUAAGUGGAUGAUGAAAUUUUUUUUUAAAGGUUUAUGCAGUAUAUCCUAAUGCUUAGUCUACUGUUC